AUACUCACCUGGCAGGGGAGAUACCAUGAUCACGAAGGUGGUUUUCCCAGGGCGAGGCUUAUCCAUUGCACUCUGGAUGUGCUGACCCCUGCGAUUUCCCCAAAUGUGGGAAACUCGACUGCAUGAUUUGUGGUAGUGGGGGACUGCGUUCACGCUCUCCCCUG
rnacentral:snRNA from 1 species